UACGUAGGGGGCAAGCGUUGUCCGGAAUCAUUGGGCGUAAAGCGCGUGUAGGCGGCUCGGUAAGUCUGCUGUGAAAGUCCAGGGCUCAACCCUGGGAUGCCGGUGGAUACUGUCGAGCUCGAGUCCGGAAGAGGCGAGUGGAAUUCCUGGUGUAGCGGUGAAAUGCGCAGAUAUCAGGAAGAACACCCGUGGCGAAGGCGGCUCCUCUGGGACGGUACUGACGACUGAGACGCGAAAGCGUGGGGAAGCGAACAGGA
rnacentral:rRNA from 1 species